UACAGAGGUGGCAAGCGUUGUUCGGAAUUACUGGGCGUAAAGGGCGCGUAGGCGGCCUACUAAGUCAGACGUGAAAUCCCCGGCUUAACCUGGGAACUGCGUCUGAUACUGGAAGGCUUGAGUAUGGGAGAGGGAUGUAGAAUUCCAGGUGUAGCGGUGAAAUGCGUAGAUAUCUGGAGGAAUACCGGUGGCGAAGGCGGCAUCCUGGACCAUUACUGACGCUGAGGCGCGAAAGCUAGGGGAGCAAACGGGG
rnacentral:rRNA from 1 species